rnacentral:rRNA from 1 species
GUCUACAGCCAUACCACCCUGAACGCGCCCGAUCUUGUCAUCUCGGAAGCUAAGCAGAGUCUGGCCUGGUUAGUACUUGGAUAGGAAGCCAAAGUGCCGAAACA